rfam:Camelus ferus unplaced genomic scaffold scaffold692, whole genome shotgun sequence.
GAGGGUAUAGCUCAGUGGUAGAGCGUUUGCUCAGCGUGCACAAGUUCCUGGGUUCAAUCCCUAGUACCUCCA